UACGUAGGGCGCAAGCGUUUGUCCGGAAUCAUUGGGCGUAAAGAGCUCGUAGGUGGUCUGUUACGUCUGCUGUGAAAUCCUAGGGCUUAACCCUGGGCCUGCAGUGGAUACGGGCAGACUAGAGGUAGGUAGGGGAGAAUGGAAUUCCCGGUGUAGCGGUGAAAUGCGCAGAUAUCGGGAGGAACACCGGUGGCGAAGGCGGUUCUCUGGGCCUUACCUGACACUGAGGAGCGAAAGCGUGGGGGAGCGAACAGG
rnacentral:rRNA from 1 species